GUACUCUUAGCUUAAAAGGAUAGAGCUUUUGGCUCCGGACCAAAGGAUAUGGGUUCAAUUCCCAUAGAGUACA
rnacentral:tRNA from 1 species